UAGUGCCCCAAGCUGCGAGGCACUUGUGGUUGGUUUAGUUACUGGAACAGGGUCAACUGUAAAUUCAAAAGUGAAACAAAUGUGAUCACUGCAGGAAUCUGCAGUAUGGAGACUAGUGAGUCAUAGUAGUGAAAACAGGGCAAGAAAUAAGUCAGCAUAAAUUUUAUGUGGAACAAAUGAGAAAAACUUUAAAAACAAGAGGAAUAAAGGUGAAAAUUACGCAUUUGUUGUCAUUUUUUUUAAUUUUAUUACAGUUAUUUCCCUGG
rfam:Mus musculus chromosome 6, GRC primary reference assembly.